AGAGUUUGAUCCUGGCUCAGGAUCAACGCUGGCGGCGUGCCUUACGCAUGCAAGUCGCACGACGUUUUCGGACGUAGUGGCGGACGGGUGAGGAACACGUACGUGACCUGCCUACUAGUGGGGGAUACCCUUCCGAAAGGGAGGUUAAUACCGCAUGUGGUCUUCCUGGUGCGCCGGGAAGAGUAAAGUCGCAAGGCGCUAGUAGAGGGGCGUGCGGCGGAUUAGCUGGUUGGUGGGGUAACGGCCUACCAAGGCGACGAUCCGUAGCUGGUCUGAGAGGACGGCCAGCCACACGGGGACUGAGACACGGCCCCGACUCCUACGGGAGGCAGCAGCGAGGAAUCUUGGGCAAUGGGCGCAAGCCUGACCCAGCGACGCCGCGUGGGGGAUGACGGCCCUUGGGUUGUAAACCCCUUUUCUGUCGAACGAACGCCGCGCAAGCGGCUUGACGGUACGGCAGGAAUCAGCCACGGCUAACUACGUGCCAGCAGCCGCGGUAAUACGUAGGUGGCAAGCGUUGUCCGGAUUUAUUGGGCGUAAAGCGCGCGCAGGUGGUCCGUUAAGUCCUGUGUGAAAUCUCCCGGCUCACCCGGGAGGGGGCGCGGGAUACUGGGGGACUGGAGGCAGGCAGAGGCCGGUGGAAUUCCCGGUGUAGUGGUGAAAUGCGUAGAGAUCGGGAGGAACACCAGUGGCGAAAGCGGCCGGCUGGGCCUGCUCUGACGCUGAGGCGCGAAAGCGUGGGGAGCGAACCGGAUUAGAUACCCCAGUAGUCC
rnacentral:rRNA from 1 species